rnacentral:hammerhead_ribozyme from 1 species
AUCCAACUGACGAGUCCCAAAUAGAACAAAGUGGCGCUCGUCUUGGAU